rnacentral:lncRNA from 1 species
AUGGACUUCACAGAUUUUCCACAAGCUGUUUCUUUUGUGCUUUCAAGCUUCUGGGAUCUCAAGAUGAAAAAGAUAGAAGCAGAUGAAAAAGUUAGAGGCAGGAGCAGAGGAACUCCCUUUGUUUCACUGAGGUCCCAUCUUAUCAACUGCACCUGUGUAACAGCUGAACUGCAGAGGCUGGGCAGAGACGUUAAUGUUAUUCCUCAGGAAGCCUGACACUUCAUUUCUAAUGGCAAAUAUAAGAUUUUCUCUCCAAGAAGCAAUUUAAUUUGUUAGCAAGAAUAUGAAGAGAAGCUCAUAGAGCUACCUGUAAAAACGUAUCCUUGUUCCAUUCUUCUGAUGGAUGCUGUUCGGUCAGUCAGCGAAAACAUCACAGGAAUUCCAUAGCAACUCAACAGGCAAUGCAAAAUGAAUUGCAGUGCUGGAUUAGGAAGGAACAUCACAGAAGAAGCAGGUGGGACUCUGGAGAAAAAAAUAAAUCAGACAACAGUACUUAGACA